UUCAAAAUUAAUUUUAAAACGCCAAGAGAAUAACCUUUCUGGGUUCUGCUCUGUUUUAACUCUUUCUUAUGUGCUUGUGAUGAGGUGGGAGUCAAAUAGAUACUCUUUGUUUUGACUCUUUCUUGUGUGGUUGGUGAUUAUAAUUGCAGAAGAAAGGAUUCUACUCUCACUUACUCUAUAGGCUUUAAAUCAACUCGAGCUAUGGCUCUACUGGACUUCAUGAAGUGAGCCUGUUGAUUGGCUCUGUUCUAAUCUUAGAGAGCCUGAUCUGCCCUUUUCUGCCAUUUUUAAUUUGUCUGCCAUACUUAAGCGUAUCUGUUUCUGUUCAGCUCUGCUCAGGUUUUGGAUGCGUCAUGGUACACGCCUUAUGAGCAAAGGAAUGCGAUCCAAGAAUAUCAGGAGUAAGAGCAUUAGAGUACACUAGUUGAUCCUAAUGGACUUUGUUCUCUCCUACAGUACAGGUUGCUGCUCUCUCUUCUUUGAUUCAGAUCGAUCAACAACUGUAUGAAUCACUAUCUUCUCAAUAAGUGGAAUCUUAUCAAUGUGAGUAUCUAUCUUAUGCUGCCAUUUUCCAACAUAAAGACAUUCAGCAAACUAAUUUCAGUGAGAAUAUAGCUGUGUUCAUUAUGUGAGACCUAUUGAAAAAUAUCAUAAUGUACUCUUUGCUGUUAACUUCAUUUUGUGUUUCCUAUUACACUUCUAAAAGAUGGCCCAUCUAUACAUCAAUGUCUUUUCACAUAUGUUACCGUCUGAGGAAGCUUUUGCUGCUGGUUAUUCUGCUCUUGGAAUUGAUAAUGGAUUGAGUGCUUGUUUAUGAUGCAAAGAGGAUCUUUAGUGCAGCCCGUGUGUGGUGGUGACUCCUGGCUCUGGGGCUUCACCGGCUGGGGAAAACUGAGGUGCCAGUGUAUGAUGGGUCGUGGACAGAAUGGGCAACAGAACCGGACUUACCCAUGGAAAUGAAAGUCCCCUAGUAGCAAGAUUACAAGCCAUUUACAUGGAUACAGUUAUGAUGUGUUAGCUUUGAGGAAUUGGCCUUGAAGUAAUCAAAAUAAUACCAUUGUUCUGUGUUCUCCUUCGGAUAAUCCAUGAACUUGAAGUUGUUUAUCAUCCUUAAACAGAGAUCUCGAAACUAUUAUGUUCAAAGUUGUAUAUAAAGUUUGAUAGACAAGACAUUGACGGUUUCAAUAAAAGUCAGUAUUUGCAUCGAA